CCCUCGAGCAUAUUUUCUGCGCUAAAAGAAAUUUAGCUCGGCCCAUGUAAUAUAAUGGAUACCACCUAUCUAUUCUUUAUUCUAAGCCUCGUUAGAGAAUCCACAUCCUUGCUAGCCUAACCCAAUCCUUAGCUAUAAUAGCAAAGUGGAAGUGAAUAAAAAAAAAAAAACGAGCAUUGUUGCUCUCUCACUGUAGCACUCCUCAACUGACUUUCAAGGAAGGCGCGAGAGAGGAGAAGGUCGCGGGAGAAAAAGAGAGAUUAUACAUGGCAUCUGGAUUCUGUCUUCUGUUCCUGGCUUCAAUUUUCCUAGCAAUCAAUAGUUCAACGAUGGCGAUCCUGCACGAGAGUUCAUCAGGAUCCGUGGUGCUAUAGAGUUCAUCAGACAAUACUCCUUAGAGGCAAAACACACUUAAUUUCUCGUCUCAAAUCUCUCACCCUUUUAUAGGUUUGUUUUGUUUCUUUUAAAUUUCUGAAGAAAUGGACAGGAUCUAUGGAGGGUUAGAUGAGGCGAAAGCUGAGAUUGAGAAGCUCAAAGCAGAUUUGAAAUGCAAAGUAGAAUUUUCUGACAGUUUCAAAUGCUUCAGGAGGCUGAUAUUCAGGAAGUGGGAAAUUCUUCUUCUUUGGAAAAAAUGCAAAAUAAGCUAAGAGUUUAGAGCAGAUGCACAGAAAUUGCUCUGCAAAUCUUAAAGCUAAAGAAGCUGACCGGAGCUCUCAACUGGAGAAACUAACUGGAGAGCUGGAUAAUUACGGGUCUGCACUAGAGAACAAAGAAACAGCAAUAAAAGAGCUUGGCAUGGAAGUGAAAAAUUGCCACUCUAUGAUAUUGCAGUUGAAGUUGCAGAAUGAGGAGGCUUCAUCAAUGAUACUGGUAUUGAAAUCAGGAAUAACUGAGGCUUAAUUGAACACUGAGAAUGCUGGUUGUUGAUUUGGAAGAACUGAGCACCCGCCCAUCUUCUACUCUCCAUCCCAUCUUCUCUUUAUGUUUUGCUUUGAUUGUUUUAUUCUCGCAGCAAGUAUCCUAUAAUAUUAUCGGGAAUGGAAAUGUUAGAAUCCUUAGAUUUUUUUUGCGGCAAAGAAAUGUUUAUGUACCUGCAAUGUUCCUAACCAUACACAGUUAGAAUCUGCUUUGUAUU